rnacentral:piRNA from 1 species
AUUCAAUUUGUAGACGGGUGG